UUUAAACUCAAACAUGUAACCAAUCAUGUAGAAUUCCAUAGAUCUCUUUGAUUUGGGUUUUGAUUUUUGAUGACUUCAAAUUCGACACCACUGAAAGAGUUUUGGCUGGAAGAGACGAGAUAAAUAGAGAAUGACAACGAAAUUAGGGUUCCGUCUACUGAACGAGAGAAGAGAGCGACAAUUUUUUUUCU
rnacentral:sRNA from 1 species